rnacentral:rRNA from 1 species
AAACCUCUGUCAGGAGGGAAGAAAAUGCUAAGGAUUAAGAGUUCUUAGUAUUGACCGUUCCUCCAGAGGAAGCGCCGUCCAACUCCGUUCCAGCAGCCGCGGUAAUACGGAGGGCGCAAGCCUUAUUCGGAAUUGCUUGGCGUAAAGCGCGCGUAGGCGGCAACGUAAGUCAGGUGUGAAAGCCCUCGGCUCUCCCGGGGAAUAGCACUUGAAACUGCGUAGCUGGAGUUCAGGAGAGGGUGGCGGAAUUCCCGGUGUAGGAGUGAAAUCCGUAGAGAUCGGGAGGAACCCCAGAGGCGAAGGCGGCCACCUGGCCUGAAACUGACGCUGAGGCGCGAAAGCGUGGGUAGCAAACAGGAUUAGAUACCCUGGUAGUCCACGCUGUAAACACUGGAUGCUAGAUGCGGGUGGCGUAGAAGUCAUUCGUGUCGCAGCUAACGCGUUAAGCAUCCCGCCUGGGGAGUACGCCGCAAGGCUGAAACUCAAAGGAAUUGACGGAA